AGUGAACGCUGGCGGUAGACCUAACACAUGCAAGUCGAACGGCAGCACAGUAAGAGCUUGCUCUUACGGGUGGCGAGUGGCGGACGGGUGAGGAAUACAUCGGAAUCUACUUUUUCGUGGGGGAUAACGUAGGGAAACUUACGCUAAUACCGCAUACGACCUACGGGUGAAAGCAGGGGAUCUUCGGACCUUGCGCGAUUGAAUGAGCCGAUGUCGGAUUAGCUAGUUGGCGGGGUAAAGGCCCACCAAGGCGACGAUCCGUAGCUGGUCUGAGAGGAUGAUCGGCCACACUGGAACUGAGACACGGUCCAGACUCCUACGGGAGGCAGCAGUGGGGAAUAUUGGACAAUGGGCGCAAGCCUGAUCCAGCCAUACCGCGUGGGUGAAGAAGGCCUUCGGGUUGUAAAGCCCCUUUGUUGGGAAAGAAAAGCAGCAGGUUAAUACCCCGCUGUUCUGACGGUACCCAAAGAAUAAGCACCGGCUAACUUCGUG
rnacentral:rRNA from 1 species